ACGGCUGGAAACGGCCGCUAAUACCCCAUAUGCCGAGAGGUGAAAUGAAUUUCGCCUGAGGAUGAGCUCGCGCCUGAUUAGCUAGUUGGUGUGGUAAAGGCUCACCAAGGCAUCGAUCAGUAGCUGGUCUGAGAGGAUGAUCAGCCACACUGGGACUGAGACACGACCCAGACUCCUACGGGAGGCAGCAGUGGGGAAUUUUCCGCAAUGGGCGCAAGCCUGACGGAGCAACGCCGCGUGAGGGAUGAAGGCCUCUGGGCUGUAAACCUCUUUUAUCAAGGAAGAAGAUCUGACGGUACUUGAUGAAUAAGCCACGGCUAAUUCCGUGCCAGCAGCCGCGGUAAUACGGGAGUGGCAAGCGUUAUCCGGAAUUAUUGGGCGUAAAGCGUCCGCAGGCGGUCUUGAAAGUCUGUUGUUAAAGCGUGGAGCUCAACUCCAUUUCAGCAAUGGAAACUAGAAGACUAGAGUGUGGUAGGGGCAGAGGGAAUUCCCGGUGUAGCGGUGAAAUGCGUAGAUAUCGGGAAGAACACCAGUGGCGAAGGCGCUCUGCUGGGCCAUAACUGACGCUCAUGGACGAAAGCCAGGGGAGCG
rnacentral:rRNA from 1 species